rnacentral:rRNA from 1 species
GACAUAGGGUGUAAACGUUGUUCGGAAUUACUGGGCGUAAAGCGAGUGUAGGCGGUGUGGUAAGUCGGAUGUGAAAGCCCCGGGCUCAACCCGGGAAGUGCAUUCGAUACUGCCACGCUAGAGUAUCGGAGAGGUUGGUGGAAUUCUCGGUGUAGAGGUGAAAUUCGUAGAUAUCGAGAGGAACACCGGUGGCGAAGGCGGCCAACUGGACGAAUACUGACGCUGAGACUCGAAAGCGUGGGGAGCAAACAGG